AUUGAACGCUGGCGGCAGGCCUAACACAUGCAAGUCGAACGGUAGCACAGAGAGCUUGCUCUCGGGUGACGAGUGGCGGACGGGUGAGUAAUGUCUGGGAAACUGCCCGAUGGAGGGGGAUAACUACUGGAAACGGUAGCUAAUACCGCAUAAUGUCGCAAGACCAAAGAGGGGGACCUUCGGGCCUCUUGCCAUCGGAUGUGCCCAGAUGGGAUUAGCUAGUUGGUGAGGUAAUGGCUCACCAAGGCGACGAUCCCUAGCUGGUCUGAGAGGAUGACCAGCCACACUGGAACUGAGACACGGUCCAGACUCCUACGGGAGGCAGCAGUGGGGAAUAUUGCACAAUGGGCGCAAGCCUGAUGCAGCCAUGCCGCGUGUGUGAAGAAGGCCUUCGGGUUGUAAAGCACUUUCAGCGGGGAGGAAGGCAAUACGGUUAAUAACCGUGUUGAUUGACGUUACCCGCAGAAGAAGCACCGGCUAACUCCGU
rnacentral:rRNA from 1 species